rnacentral:rRNA from 1 species
CAGGUCAGCAUACUGCCGUGAAUACGUUCCCGGGCCUUGUACACACCGCCCGUCACACCAUGAGAGUUGGAGAUACCCGAAGCCUGUGAGCUAACAAACGAGGCAGCAGUCGAAGGUAGAAUCAAUGAUUGGGGUGAAGUCGUAACAAGGUAGC